rfam:Rattus norvegicus chromosome 20, whole genome shotgun sequence.
GGGGAUCUAGCUCAGUGGUAGAGCGCUUGCCUAGCAAGCACAAGGCCCUGGGUUCAGUCCCCAGCUCCG